rnacentral:lncRNA from 1 species
GAUAAUUGAGGCAAGUCCUGAUGAAUGAAGACAUGAAGCAAAAUGAAAUUGAUUCAACACAAGAAGGGUGUAUCGUUCCUAAAUUAGUCCAAUUCAAGUUUGAAAUGCAAGUAACAUGUCCCAUCUCUUGUAGGACAAGGCGCACAUCAACUGCGGGAGCGACGCCUUCUACGAAGUUGGCAUGCUAAGGCCAUCCAUUUUGUUGUAAAGGAUGUAUAUCGUUCCUAAAAUGAUUUCUUGUCAAGUGUGGAAAUAACAUGCCCAGUCUUCUAAAUGUCUUUUUGAGAAGAGCAUUUGAAAAGAGCAAGAAUUGAAUUUUGUGGAUUAUCGUUGCAGUAAAGAAACGUUUUUCAUAAAUAAAAUCAAGGCCAUAGAGGCAUUUUUCAAGCAAUCCUGUCACUUUAGGUGAUUUAUGUCAUGCAUAUCAUGCAUAUAUCCUGCAUAAUAUUUUCCUAACAUGUGUCAUCGUCAUUCUUGAUAGGAAAUGUCAUACCCGAAGAACAAAAACACGUGAAGGGUAAAUUGUAUUGAUUCCAAUUGCUGAUUUUGAUACUGUUUCUGACAUGAUUCUCUUUUCCUUUGAUUUGGAUUACAUCAAACACUUGUAAGAGGUAGGUGUGGUACUAUUCUAAUUAGCAGUUCUGUUAACGGUUACUGAUGAUUAUAACUCAAGCUUGUAGGAUUUUUUAGUUGGGGGGUUGCAUUGCUAACUUGACAGUACCAUUUGCUUUGUAUCAUCUAUGUAUGAUGAGUUGCCGAAAGAUUGUCUCCCCUCUGGUUAACAGAACUUGUUCUUCACAUGCAGAGUCUUGACCGUAUAAAUAUGUCAGUUUUGGAAGGUACAAAUGCUCAAUACUAGACAUGCAAGCAGCUGUUAGACACGCUGGGGAAGGGUAUUGAGUCUGCUUUGGUGUAUCCUCGAGCAUUAGUAGCUGAGCCAUGGCAGGCAUCCACUGAAAUGUUUCCUGGAAUUGAUCCUCAUAGGAGAUAUGCGAAGAUCAAUUUGUUGGAGAUAUGUGAGAUAUGCAAAGAUCAAUUUGGGAUCAUAAUUGAUCUAUAGUAUUGUUUCUAAAAUCAAUUUAGAAUUUGAUUUUAUUUGAUUUCAUGUAUUGGGUCUUAUUCCUUCUUUAGUUAUAUAUCAAUUGUAAAUAGGAGCGUAUUCUUGUAAAGGACAAUUCAUUCAAUACAGAAUACAGAUUUCUCCCGAGUCUCUCCCUUUUCUUUCAUUUUGUAACAAUCCUGAAGCUCUUGCCGUUGAACUGGCACUUGUCCCAACCAUACAGGUACUUUCACCUUCAUUUUGAUUUUUGCUCUUAGAUCUACUUGUUGUAACAUGGAAGUUUGAAAUGCAGAUCUUCUGGCUGUGCUUUGGCCAUGGCUUGAGGCCGUUAUUUUGAUGACCAUCUUCAUGUCUGGUUUCAAAACUGAAAUUCCUUUAUGGGCACUGUGAUGGUGAAAUUUAUUUACAAAAGAUGUAGGACAAAUAAGCUUUUCAAUUAAAGAAACGUAGCUUUUGCUGAAAAAGUGGUUGCCUAGAUAUCUUUUGGCUUUCAAAUGAUGCUAUGUGAGAAAUAUAUCAAGAUCGUCAUUCGAGUCAUUCGAUUCGUGAAAUAAAUGGCUAUGACAUAUUCUUGCAUAGAGUUGUCUUAAGGUUGCCAUUACUUUCAAAUGCCAUGCAUUUGUCGUGUAUCCUGCAACUGUCCCCUCCCCAUAUUGUCGACCUUUUCUUCAAUCAAGACCAUGGCAAUUGAUUUCAGCUGAAACAAAGUAAUGGUAGUAUACAUGUUUCGGACUGUCAAAAGUGUCUCACAGGCUUCUGUUGAUGCAGUUCUUGAUCUGGCUUGACAUUUUAUCACCAAUUUCAUUCAACCUUUUCUUGAUGCAGUUUUUGAUGCAGUUCUUGAUCUGGCUUAUGCUGUCUCCUCCCCAUGUUGUCGACCUUUUCUUCAAACCAGACUGGCAAUUGACUUCAGUUGAAAGAAAGAUAUGAUAGUAUCCAUGUUUCAGACUGUCAAAGGUGUCUCGCAGACUUAUGUUGAUGCGGUUCUUGUUCUGGCUUCACAUUUUAAAAUUGUUCCCAAACCACAAGAACAUAACCACAAUCAAGAGGCACCAGCAGCGAAUUCAAUUCAGGCAUAAUCAGAAAGAAAAACGCGCCGCGUUGACGUAUCGACACUACAUGAUUCGCAAAACCCCCUCCCCCAAGCCACAGCCAUUGGCCUGACAAUUACCAAAUAAAUUCGAGCCAUGAAUCUACUCCAGUUCAUCUCUAACCCAAAUUAAAUUAACCCCAAGGAACACGAUUAAACAGCGCAGCUUGACCCGCAGAAACCACCGCCUCCAACCGAAUCCUUAACGGUCUAACAGAUGAACAAAUUUGAGGAAUUCCUCUCUGCACAACCGACCCAGGCGACAAAUUGUUUUUGAAAAUAAAAAAGAGAAUUGAAUGAAAUCGCGUUCGGGUAAUCUAGCUCCCCAGAUCCAUUUUAAACUCUCUCACACACUUUAUUUCCAUUUUUAAUGGGUCCAUUAAGGGUGGGAACCCCUUUUCAAGGGGCUUUGGGAAGCUAAAGAUGUUUGGGUCAAAGUGGAGGUGUUUGGGAACCAUUUUCGAAGGGGCUUACGGGGGAAGUUGGCAUUGGCAAUGCUGUGGACAACGGGGAUGGAAUAGCUGUUGGGUGGUUAGGACAUCCUAUCUUUCGAGAUAAAGAAGGGCGUGAACUUUUUGUACGUCGUAUGCCUACUUUUUUUGAAACAUUUCCGGUUGUUUUGGUAGACGGAGACGGAAUUGUUCGAGCCGACGUUCCUUUUCGAAGGGCGGAAUCAAAGUAUAGUGUUGAACAAGUGGGUGUAACUGUUGAGUUCUAUGGCGGGGAACUCAAUGGAGUCAGUUAUAGUGAUCCUGCUAUUGUGAAAAAAUAUGCUAGACGUGCCCAAUUAGGUGAAAUUUUUGAAUUAGAUCGUGCUACUUUGAAAUCCGAUGGUGUUUUUCGUAGCAGUCCAAGGGGUUGGUUUACUUUUGGACAUGCUUCGUUUGCUCUGCUCUUCUUCUUCGGACACAUUUGGCAUGGUGCUAGAACCUUGUUCAGAGAUGUUUUUGCUGGUAUUGACCCCGAUUUGGAUGCUCAAGUGGAAUUUGGAGCAUUCCAAAAACUUGGAGAUCCAACUACAAGAAGACAAGUAGUCUGAUACAAGAUUUCUCUGCCUUGGGCUUUCAGCAUUCUCGGAAGGUCGGAGGUCACUGUUCACAUGUCUACUGUUCACUUCUUCUCCAGCGGCGUGGACGAGCUCGAGAGGCCGGCGAUGGACUUGGCUGAGGUCGGCGAGGUCGCGGCGACCAUCACCGGCGAGUCGCCGCGACCGCUCGGCCCGCGAGUCGCGUCGCCGCGACCCAGUUCUGGGUUGCGCGACCUCAGGCGCGACCUAGAUCUGGGUUGCCGGAGGUCGCGCGACCUCGCGGCGAUGGGCACGACCCAGAUCCGGUCGCCGCGAGGUUGCGCAACUUCAGGCGCGACCGCGCGACCCAGAUCUGGGUCGUCGGAGGUCGCGCGACCUCGCGGCUACCGGCGCGGUCGCGAUUUGGGGGCCGCGGGGUCGCGCGACCUCCGCCGGCCUGAUUCUGGUGGACUCUUUCAUCUCUUUGUCAUGCGAUCUUUCGUUUAAUGGCAUCCGUCUGCCGGCCCCACUGUAAAGCGACCCUAUUCCGAGGACGAUCGAUCCUAGAGGGACUUUGCAAUUCACCUUCAAAGGCGAACUGACGCUGCAGACGUGGCGCUUUAGUAAUAUAUGUUGAACUCAAAGGUCUUUUGCUUAUACCUAAUGGACUUAUCCAAAUUAAGUACCAAAACGCUGCCUAAUUUCGUCUCGUGNNNNNNNNNNNNNNNNNNNNNNNNNNNNNNNNNNNNNNNNNNNNNNNNNNNNNNNNNNNNNNNNNNNNNNNNNNNNNNNNNNNNNNNNNNNNNNNNNNNNNNNNNNNNNNNNNNNNNNNNNNNNNNNNNNNNNNNNNNNNNNNNNNNNNNNNNNNNNNNNNNNNNNNNNNNNNNNNNNNNNNNNNNNNNNNNNNNNNNNNNNNNNNNNNNNNNNNNNNNNNNNNNNNNNNNNNNNNNNNNNNNNNNNNNNNNNNNNNNNNNNNNNNNNNNNNNNNNNNNNNNNNNNNNNNNNNNNNNNNNNNNNNNNNNNNNNNNNNNNNNNNNNNNNNNNNNNNNNNNNNNNNNNNNNNNNNNNNNNNNNNNNNNNNNNNNNNNNNNNNNNNNNNNNNNNNNNNNNNNNNNNNNNNNNNNNNNNNNNNNNNNNNNNNNNNNNNNNNNNNNNNNNNNNNNNNNNNNNNNNNNNNNNNNNNNNNNNNNNNNNNNNNNNNNNNNNNNNNNNNNNNNNNNNNNNNNNNNNNNNNNNNNNNNNNNNNNNNNNNNNNNNNNNNNNNNNNNNNNNNNNNNNNNNNNNNNNNNNNNNNNNNNNNNNNNNNNNNNNNNNNNNNNNNNNNNNNNNNNNNNNNNNNNNNNNNNNNNNNNNNNNNNNNNNNNNNNNNNNNNNNNNNNNNNNNNNNNNNNNNNNNNNNNNNNNNNNNNNNNNNNNNNNNNNNNNNNNNNNNNNNNNNNNNNNNNNNNNNNNNNNNNNNNNNNNNNNNNNNNNNNNNNNNNNNNNNNNNNNNNNNNNNNNNNNNNNNNNNNNNNNNNNNNNNNNNNNNNNNNNNNNNNNNNNNNNNNNNNNNNNNNNNNNNNNNNNNNNNNNNNNNNNNNNNNNNNNNNNNNNNNNNNNNNNNNNNNNNNNNNNNNNNNNNNNNNNNNNNNNNNNNNNNNNNNNNNNNNNNNNNNNNNNNNNNNNNNNNNNNNGCUUCAUUGAGUUUAACCCAUGGCCAGUAAAGCACCCAAAGUACACCCUUUCCCCCCUACCCUGGGGAAUUUCUCACACCACCAUGUCGAACAGAUUGCUCGAUCUAGUCUUUUUGUUUAUCACUGUGGUGUUACGAUGGUUAUCUCUCAAUGUUAGUGAUUUCUCUUAGUUGGAUUGUUUUUCAAGAUGUUGUCUCCGGGUUGCCACAUCAAUUUAUAUUUUAAUGGUGGAUAUAAUACUUAGAAUUAGAGUUGAUUUUAAGGUCAAGGAUGGAGGAUGGGAGAGUGAAGAUUAGACAAUUUAAAGUGAUUUGGAAAGCUGGUCAAGAAAAUAUCUGCAUCUCAUGUGAUUGGGAGGGACUUGAAGAUCUAUGUAGCAAUUCUUGUUUAUAUGUAUAUACACAACCCCAUACUUGAGGCAUCGACUAUUGCAAAUUCGUACGGGAACAGCACCAAGAAAGGUAAUCAUCGAACAAAACUCUAACUCAAAGAGAAAGAGGGUGAGCCAAGCGAUUUGAAUUGGGGGGAGGGUAUUGAGCGUGUGAAAGCCAAGAUGUUGAGCAUCUAGUGGUGGAGGUGACACCAAGCCUUGGGGCCAGUAUAGGUGGGUGACUUUGGAAGUGCUACAAUGGCGACGACUAAGUCUGGCAUAAUUGCCGAGUUCACUCAUGGCAGCGGCAAUUAUGCUAGACUUAUAAUUAAAGUCACUUUUGAUGGUGUUACGCAACAUGACACUACAAGUCUAAAACAUAAAUUUUCACAAAUUUAAUUACCCUUCUCGCCUAAUUUGAACUUUGAUUUAGCAAGAAGGGCAUUUCAUCUUCAAUACAAUUAUCGGUCACAUAAAGUUGACACAUCACGCAUUUAUUAAUAAUGUUAUGCAGUUUGAUGAUACACAAUUAAAAUAUAAAAUUUCAUGGACAUAAUUAUGCUUAUUGAUUAAUGUGAUCUUCAAUUUAGCAUGAAAGGAUAUAUUUAUGUCCAAUGUAUGGAUUAAUAUUCACGAGUAUCAAUCCGAAUCAAAUACUACUUCGGGUGUCUUUAAAAACACCAUGGGGAAAGCUUUUGGGGAAAUGUAAAUAAUUUUAGAUGACAGGGUUUUUCCAAAAUGUAAAUAACAUUUGGUAAUGUGUAAUCUAAAAACAUUAACUUUAGCUUAAAUAUCAUUUGUAAAGGAUCUUUGCUAUUUUUUUUUUUUUAAAAUCUCAAACAUUUCCCGGCAAAACUCAGUCCCAAAUCUGGCCGCCGCCAACACAAGAUUGCCUUGCCGCAGCCAGAUCUACCGUUGCUGGUGGGCCUUGCCGGUGGCUCACUAGUGGCCUCAACCUGGCGACAUCAAUUGAGAUGUGGAUAUUUUCGAAAUUAUAAAAGACAAACGAAAGUGAAGUUGGAAGGGAAAAUGUGUUCAUACUUCGGAAAUACUCAAAAUUCAAAGCGCUUUUGAAGUUUGUUUUGGGCCAAAGAUUUAGAGGAUAUCGGAACUGCAACAAAUUCUCCAGAAGGAAUCCGUCAGAACCGUAUUUGCACUUCUCUAAGGUGAUUUUUUAAAGCCCAAUGGGCUUUGAGAAGGUGGUUUCCCAGGCCCACCCUUCGCCUUCAAACGACACGUGGCGAAAUUGGGGGGAGAGUUGACGGGGACUCCCCCGCCCUACCCGGCCGACAAAUUUGAAGGCCGCGGCCUCGCCGACCAAGCCCAACCCCCACCCGCCCCACGUUCCCUUUCCACGCUUGACUAAGGCGUUGCUACUCCGCAAAUGCCCGUCGAUCCCCGAAGUAGGUCGGAAUUCCCUCUUGAUCGACGAAAAUUCGGGCGUCUUUGAUCGUGCUGCUGCUUUCGAUUGCUUGAACUGGGUUCUAGUUAGGUUUCGCGCUUCCUGAACCGGUUCGUUGCUUCUGCAAUGGAACCAGCGUUAAUUCUGUCUCGACGAGCAAUCGUGCUGUCCUACUCCUCAUUAGCUUAGCUGCGGGUUUUUGAGAGAUGAUGCCGGAGAUGGGGUUCAGUUGCGUGUUACGCUUGCAUUUCGACGGUGUUGCCACUUUCCAUGGAUGAAGUAAAGACACGCUAGCGCUUCAAGUUAGGGUCUUAGCGUUAAUUCUUCUAAGCAUAGCCGUUCGGUUCGGUUCCGGUCGGUAUUGAUGUUCUAGCAAUUCUGAGUCUUUUAGCUGCCGGAACGUGGUGCUUUCUGUAUCACCUUUCCAUCAGUUUGCAAAUUUUAGAUUAUUUCACUGUUAAUUGGGUGAUGAAUAUCAUCAUGCGUGGUGGGGCUAUACGUGACUCCUGGAAACUCUCUUCACCAGAGAUAUCGGCGCAGCUUCUUGUUUUUUCCUCCAUUACUGGCACAGCUUCUUGUUUUUUUGACCAAAAUACCUCUUCUCCAAUGACUGAAAAAGUCACCCUCGAUCAAAAACCCUUAUUUGAGACGAUGUGAUCACUUCAUGUUCUUAUUUAAAAUAAUUCAGUCACUUCAAACUUUUAUUUGAAACAAUAUCUAUUUUGAAUUUUUAUUUAAGAAAACUAUGGCACUUCAUGCCAUUUUUUGAAAUUUUCCCUUAAUUUAAUUACUUGUGGAAAGGAAAAGGGUGGAAAAAUUACAAUAAUGACAAAAAAAAAAAAUCCUAGAGAAAGAAAAAGUGAGGGUGAAACAAAGGGGAGAGAGGGUUGUCCAAGCAUCGGCAAGGGCCGACAACUCUCACCAACUAAGGUGAACCGACAAUGUUGUCACCAAUUGAGUUGAACCUCUUUUAUUUUAUUUUUAUUUUUGGCUAAAGAAAGAAGGGCAAAUACCACAAAAAGCCACAAAUUAGGUCAAUUGUGACAUAAAUACUCCGAAUUUUUUUCAUAUCACACAAGUUUCUAAACUUAUUCAUUAUGAUACAAUAACCCCCAACUUUUUUUUUUUGCAAGAAAUAGAAACUUGAACUUAUAUUAUUUAUUUCAGUUUUAUCCAAUGUAUAUUUAUCACGUUAGUAUAAGUUUGGAAUUUGGUAUGUUAAAAAAAUUGAGAUAUUUAUGUCACAAUUGACAAAUUUAAGAUUUUUUUUAUUUAUGAUUUUAACCUAAAAAAAAAAUGGACCCAAUUAACUAUGGUCUUUGGAAUAGUUUGAAAUUUUGGGAAUGUGGAAGUUCAUUUGCUGCUUCUUUGUUCCUUGUACCCAUGGGCAACGAAGUACUUAGAAUUAGAGUUGAUUUUGAGGUCAAGGAUGAAAGAUCAGAGAGUGAAGAUCAUAGGAUUUAAGGUGAUUUGAAAAUUAGGUCAAGAGAAUAUAUGCAUCUCAUGAAGAUUGGGAGGGACCUAAAGAUCUAUGUGGCCAUUCUUGUUGGAGUUUUUUCUUGAUUUAUGCAGCUUGCAUUUUUUGAAGAUCUACGCGCAAAGUCACUUUUGGCGAGGGUUGUUGAGGGGUCCACGCAAGUUGAUGUCAACCAUACCGUUGCCUAUACUCUUUUUUUUCUAUCUACGUACGUGUGAACGCACGGGCAUUUUUAUGUUCAAAGAUGGAGGUAUGCUAUUUGAACAAUGGAUAUCCAUUCAUGAGCAGCUAUUAUUGCCCAUGUUUUAAAUUUGACUAUAUGAGUCACAAUCAAUCGAAUGGCUAAAGGGGGUUCACAAUCCAACUCUUGCCGAUUCGGUGGAAGUUUAAUUUUGCCACUUUAUCUUGCCUUGGUUGUUGCGACCCAUUUAUUCAUUUAAUUUGACUAUAUGAGUAGCAAUCAAUCAAAUGGCUAAAGGAGGUUCACAAGCCAAUUCAUCUUGCUGAUUCGGCAAGAUGAAUUGGCAAAAUUGAACUUUCAUGGAGUCGACAGGAGAGCCAUUCGAUUGAAGUCCGCCCUAUUAAUGAAUCGGCAAGACGAAUCAGCAAAAUUGAACUUUCGCGGAAUCGGCAGGAGAGCCAUUCGAUUGAAGUCCGCCCUAUAAAUGCUAGUGAGUCGCGACACUCCGCUUGUCAAUAUUGUCUGUCCUUUUUGGUCUACCCACGAAAGGAAAGACUAGAGAGAGACGGCAGAUUUCGGGAGGCUUUGCGCAAACGAGGAUGCGCGCUCGUGUUGCUCCUACCCUCCUCUGCACUCAUCGACGUCCCAGCUCCAGCCCGUGAGCGACGACGACGGCACUGCCCCCCCACUCCCGACGCCUGCUCCUCACCGCCGCCGCCUUCUUUCUUCGGACGAGCUGCUUUGCUGUCCAAGCCGCGACGACCACCUCCAACGGCACUGCCCUCUCCUCCCGUCGUCAUUCCUCUCGACAAAAAAAAAAAAAAAUGCUCCCUCAAAUUUGGGAUUCUGAAGCUGAGAGCCUCUUCUGUGCUGCAUUUCUUUUCUAGGCCUUGAUUUCUUUUGUUCUCUUUUUUUGCUUCGCCCAGCCCAGCGGGAGGCCAUCGUGUCCAUCGCCGAACCUAACGAGCUGCCGCUCCUUCCCACACCUCCAACUACCGGAGACGACGCGGGUGCUCUAUGUCCCAAGCCGCUGCUGUUGCAUCAUGAUCUCGAGCCUGUUUUCGUUCGGUCGGCAUCCCUCGUGGCUUCGUCUUGCAUCGCUACCCCCAGCCGAAAGUCACUACCGAGGCGAGAUGAGACGAGCCGUGUCACAAACCGCCGCGUGCACCUCUCCGAACCACCACCGUGGCCAUCCUUUGCCAGGAAGGACCGUACCAGUCAUCCGUCUAGCCGAUUCCGAUGAAGUUCGUCCUGUGAAUUUAGGUAAAAUAUCGUUCGAAUUUGUUUGUGUUUUUGCAUGUGAUUGUGCACUCUGAGCAGAAAUCCCCUUCGCUAAAUCUAUUUGCAUGCGCCUUCAGCUUCUGGAUGAUUUCUUUUCUUUUCUUUUUUCGUGUUUGUGUACGGACUGCUUACCAUUAACAUACAGUAUAUUCCCGAGGAUCUCCGUCUUCAUUGGAAUAUCGGUCAUCUUUGAGUGCUUUGCCGUGGAAGCAUUCCAAGAACCUCUGCUCACUUCCUAGCCAGGCCACGCCACACCAAGUUACUGUAGGAAAAAGGCUGAUAAGAACAAAUAAAUUUGUCUGAGGCGUGCAAACGUAAGCACUGUCCUUAAGGAUAAUUCCGCCCCUCGAAGUGCGAAACUCGGUGCGAUAGGCUUCUGACGGCUAUCCUCCCAAGAUACAAUAGACCUUCUUCUAUAUUCCGCACUGAAUAUUAGAAGGAACAGAAACAACGUCUGUGCUUAACCCAGCAAGAAAAAGGAAAGGAAAGAUUUCACAAAGAAAGAAUAUUCUCUGUUUCAUUCGGUGUGUUUUUUUUAAGAUUGUCUUGUGAGAUUUUAUAUUCAAACAAAAUAGAGCCGUUAAAAGAGCCGUUGUAAAAUAAUGAAUGAUUUAUUUGAGAAAUAAAAUAAAACGUUACAAAACAAUUGGAAAGCCGUUGUAUGACCGUUAAGAAACCGUUAUGUGACCGUUUAAAAUAAUAAUGGUCUUCAAUGCGGUCAUAACUAUUAUCAAAGUUAUUAUUGUUAAUAUUUCAAAAUAUUAUUGAUAUAUCCAACAAUCCCCCACAUAUUUCAAAAGAUUUUGAAAAUAAAAUUAAUAUGAUGCUGGGUUAUUGGAGUGUAAUGCAUCGGAACUGGUGCUUAUUAGGCUAUGAACCAGCCCUAGAAAAAAUGAAAUAUAAUUCACGAAAUUAUUGGUGAAGUUUGAAACUUCUAUGAACCAAAAAUUUCUUUUGUGAAUUAUAAUUUUCAUCAAUCACAUUGCACUCCCACAAACUUUGUUGUUCACCGCGGUUUUGCGCUAAUAGGCCAUGCGUGUGCUUGGUUUAUUCAUAAGUGCUUGAGAGAUUUUCGCCAAAAAUUCUCAUAGGAGCGGCCCCACUCCACACCUAUAUAGGUGAUUCCAUCAAGUGUAUUCUGCAGCUUAAUACACCACCAAUAAUGGCUAUGGAAUUUCAUUAAGAGCUUAGCUCAACCUCUUUUUUCCUUGCAGUUUUGCACCAUUCUCAUCUUAGAAUGGACAAUAAUUUUUAAUAGUGCAUCACUAGAACAACAAGUGACUUGUUAUUACCCAUAUGAACCUAAUUCAUGGGAUCGCCAAUCACAUAGGUUGGGUUACCAUCACUGUUACUUUUCCUCAAUUGGCUUAAGUCCCAUUCCCCUCGAUGUGUCAUAAAUUAAUUUUCUUCCCACAGGUUUAGUCAAAAGAUCGGCCAAAUUCACUUUUGACUUUACAAAAUCAAUGGAUAUAAUUCCAUCUUUAAGCAGCUGCUUUACUACAUCAUGUCUCAAUCGGAUGUGUCUAUUUUUACCAUUGAAAGUUUUAUUCUUUGCAAUGGCUAUUGCCGCUUGGCAAUCACAGUGUAUAGACACAGAAGGUGUCGGUUUCAUUCCCAAAUGAAUAUCCGCUAAGAGGUUCCUUAACCACUCAGCCUCAUUGCCAGCCAAUUCUAGAGCCACAAUUAUUGUUUGUUUGGCUGACUUCCAAGUUACAGCACCUCCACCAAGGGAAAACACAUAUCCACUAGUGGAUUUGGUCUCAUCUGAGUCUGAAAUCCAAUAAGCAUCACUGUAUCCUUCCAAUACAACGGGAAAUCCACUUUAUAAAAUACCAUAGUUCAUGGUUUCUCUCAAAUAUUUCAUUAAUCUGCUCAAAGCAGUCCAGUGAUCAUCAUUGGGAUUUUGUGUAUAACUGCUCAGUCUACAUACAGCAUAAGCUAUAUUAGGUCGAGUAUAAUUCAUCAAAUGCAUCAAACUUCCAAUAAUUUGAACAUACUUAGACUGAGUCACACCAUCUCCUUUAUUUUUCACUAAUUGGAUAUUAGAAUCAUAAGGAGUAUUUACAGGUUUAACAUCAAAGUGAUCAAAUUUUUUAAGUAGCCUCUCCACAUAAUGCGCUUGAGUAAGCAUUAGGCCACUAUCACUCUUUACGAUUCUAAUACCCAAAAUAAUAUUAGCUUCCCCCAUGUCCUUCAUAUCGAAUUUAGAAGUCAAAAAACAUUUUGUUUCAUUCACUACAUCAAUACACGUACCAAAAAUAAGCAUGUUAUCAACAUAUAAGCUAAUAAUUAUAAAUUCACCAUCAACAGUUUUUGUAUAUACACAUUUAUCUACUCCAAUAGAGAAAAAUCCAUUAUUAACUAGAAUAUCAUUAAAUUUCCCAUACCAUUGCUUUGGCGCUUGCUUUAAGCCGUAUAAAGAUUUAACAAGUUUACAAACUUUAUUUUCUUGACCAAGAAAGAUACAGCCCUCAGGUUGCACCAUGUAAAUUUCCUCUUCCAAAUCACCAUUUAAAAAAGCUGUUUUAACAUCCAUUUGGUGAAUAAUAAGUUUGUAAAUAGAAGCCAAAGCAAUUAAAACACGAAUUGAUGAAAUUCUUGUAACUGGAGCAAAAGUGUCAAAAUAAUCAACAUUUUAUUUUUGAGUAAAACCUUUUGCAACUAAUCUUGCUUUAUAUUUAUCAGUAGAACCAUCAUGAUUAUAUUUUCUUUUAAAAAUCCAUUUACAACCGAUCGGUUUUGCACCGGGUGGUAAAUCAACUAAUUUCCAAGUUUGAUUUUGUAAGAUAGAAUCAAUCUCGAUUUUUAUAGCUUCUUUCCAAAAAUUGCUUUCUGAGGAAGAUAUCGCUUCAGAAUAAGUCAAAGAAUCAUUAUCAAUAAGAUAAGUAUAAAAAUCAUUCCCAAAAGAAGUUUCGUUCCUUAUUCUUUUGCUCCUUCUCAAUUCAUCAAUUGAAUUUUCGAGAACAUUUUUAUGAAUAAGCGAAGGAGAAAUAUUAUCAACACUUAAUGGAAAAAUAUGCUCAAAAAAUUCUGCAUUUUUUCUCAACUAUAGUAUUAUUAUCAAGCACGUCACUUUUUAAUACAAGAAAUCUAUAUGCAGAACUAUGUUCAGCAUAACCAACAAACAUGCAGUCAGAUGAUUUAGAGCCUAUUUUCCUUUUCUUAGAAUUAGGAAGCAUAACCUUAGCAAGACACCCCCACACUUUCAAAUAUUUUAAAUUUGGACGAUAACCUUUCCAAAAUUCAUUGGGUGUUUUACCAGUUUUCUUAUAAGGUAUUCUAUUUUGGAUAUGGCAUGCAGAUAAAAUAGCUUCACCCCAUAAAUUAUUUGGAGCAUUAGAACUAACAAGCAUAGAAUUCAUCAUCUCUUUCAAAGUCCUAUUUUUUCUUUCAGCUAUGCCAUUAGAUUCAGGAGAAUAAGGAGGCGUAGUUUCAUGAAUUAUUCCUUCCUUUUCACAAAAUUUAUUAAGCAAUACAUAUUCUCCACCUCUAUCCGAUCUAAUUCUUUUUAUCUUUUUAUUCAAUUGGUUUUCUACUUCAACUUUAUACAAAAGGAACAUAUCAAAAGCUUCAUCUUUAUGCCUAAGAAAAUAAACUUUAGUGGCUGUAGGUUUCAUCACNNNNNNNNNNNNNNNNNNNNNNNNNNNNNNNNNNNNNNNNNNNNNNNNNNNNNNNNNNNNNNNNNNNNNNNNNNNNNNNNNNNNNNNNNNNNNNNNNNNNUUGAUAACAUUAGAAACGUUAAGAACAAAAAGUCCUUGAUUACAAUAACCCUUUCCCACAAAGACGUUAUUUUUUGUCAUUACAAUCUUAUCAGAUUCAAAUGACGCCUUCACCCCAACCUUUCCCAAAAGCGCUACCGAGACCAGGUUUGCCCUUAUAUUAGGGACAUGUAAUACAUCAUUCAGGCCAAAGUCUUGCCAGAUGUGAGCUUGAGAAGAACGUUUCCUUUCCCAAGAACUUGAGUUGUUAUUGAAUCUCCAAGAUAAAUAACUUCUUCUUCUUCCCCUACUGGCGUGUAGGAGGAAAAGGCAUUUUUGUUUGCACAAAUAUGCCUGGUAGCACCUGAGUCUACCACCCACUCUUUCACAUUGGCCACAAUGUUGGCCUGGGAAAUAACCGUAACAAUUAUAUCAUUAGAGUCAUCUGCUUUAACUAAAUUGACUUUUGGUUUAGUAGGAUUGUCAUUUCCCAUCAUUCUCUUUCUACAGUGCGCUGCAUGAUGACCUAGUUUUCCACAAACAAAGCAAGAGCCUUUCUUUUUGAAAGUGGGGUGAGCAACUUUGGGUUUGUAAUCAGGUUUUUUGUUAUAAUACAUGUUUUGGCGAUGUUGAAAUUUGCCUUGCACCAAAUUUGCCCUAGUAACAAUUUCCUUAGCUUUGGCAGCUUUGAUCUCCUUGCGAGUUGUAUCCUCAAUGAUGAUAUGCACGAUCAGAUCGGCUAGUGACAAUUGCUUGUCCUUGUGCUUGAGUUGUUGCUUGUAGUUAUUCCAAGACUCAGGCAACUUUUCAAUUAGCCAGCCCGCAAGAAAUUCUUCUUGUAAGUUGAUGUUUUCUGCCUUCAAGUCCUCCACUAGCUUGUGAUAUUCAUUGAAUUGUUUCUUGAUCUCCUUAUCAUCGGACAUUUCCCGUCGAUAAUAAUUUCCGAUUACAAAUUUUUGUAUGCCCACAUCUUCGGCAGUGUACUUUGCAGUCAUGGAGUCCCAUAUUUGUUUUGCUUCCUUGUACGGACAGUAGACAUCAAACAAUUCAUUAGAAAGAGUACUAAUAAUUGUGUGCCUACAUACCUUAUUAGCAUGUAUCCAUUGAUCUCGAAGCUUGUUAUCAGUUGGUUCGGCCUCCGUAAGUGCGAAAGCCACGCCGUGCACAUCUAGGAUAGAGAAAACCCUUUCUUGCCACCUUCUGAAAUUGUUGCCGUUGAAAACUUCGAUCUUUGAUAUGUCGGGGAAUGGUUUGGCAUAGGACAUAUGUGGUAGUGAUGGUAGUGCAACUGGACUGGUGGAGAUUGAGGCAUCAGCAGCAGUAUCGACUUGAUGCUCCAUGGGUAUUAUCCUUAAGAUUGUAGGAAAAAGGCUAUAAGAACAAAUAAAUUUGUCUGAGGCGUGCAAAUGUAAGCACUGUCCUUAAGGAAAAUUCCGCCCCUCGGAGUGCGAAACUUGGUGCGAUAGGCUUCUGACGGCUAUCCUCCCAAGAUACAACAGACCUUCUUCUAUAUUCCGCACUGAAUAUUAGAAGGAACAGAAACAACGUCUGUGUAUAACCCAGCAAGAAAAAGGAAAGGAAAGAUUUCACAAAGAAAGAAUAUUCUCUGUUUCAUUCGGUGUGUCUUUUUUAAGAUUGUCUUGUGAGAUUUUAUAUUCAGACAAAAUAGAGCCGUUAAAAGAGCCGUUGUAAAAUAAUGAAUGAUUUAUUUGAGAAAUAAAUUAAACGUUACAAAACGAUUGGAAAGCUGUUGUAUGACCGUUAAGAAACCGUUAUGUGACCGUUUAAAAUAAUAAUGGUCUUCAAUACGGUCAUAACUAUUAUCGAAGUUAUUAUUGUUAAUAUUUCAAAAUAUUAUUGAAAUAUCCAACAGUUACCAACCCUUUUUUCUCUUAUGGGGGGAGAGAGAGAGGUCUGGAAGUCCCAUAUAUGGCACACUCAACGGCCAGAGCAUCAGAAGUUCAGUACGAUGUGUUUUUGAGUUUUAGUGGAGAGGAUACUCGUUUUGACUUCACAGACUUCCUCUAGAGACUUGAAUAAUGCCGGAAUCCGCGUAUUCAGAGACGAAGAUGCAAUCAAGGUGGGUGAUAAGAUUGGUGAGACAAUUCUACAAGCUAUCGACAACUCCAAAAUCUACAUACCCAUCAUCUCUCAAACUUAUCCUGAUUGUGAAUGGUGUCUCAACGAGCUUGAACACAUGAUGUACAAUGUGUUUAGGUCAAAUGGCGAAAAAAGGAUUUUCCCCAUCUUUUAUAAAGUGGAACCUGGGCAUGUUAAACAUCGGACUCCACACCCCAAAAAUCUUUCCUCUGAAGAGGCUCUUGCAAAGGUUGGUCAAAUCAAGGGAUGGAAGGUCGAGGAGGGACAAAGGUAAAACUACCUUUAAGAUGCCUGCGUAAUUCUUCCUUUUUUGUUUUUUGUUUCAGGGGAUAAAACAUUGCCAUGUCAAAUCAAUUUUUUUCUUCUUCUUUUUUAAAUGGAAAAUUUCAAUAACCACUUCCAACUUCAAGUGCUACUCCUAUUGAACUUUACAACCUCUACUCGAGACAUCUUCCCUAAUAUUUCAGUUGUUACAGCCACUGCUGGCGCUGGGGAACUUGUUACAGGUUUUGGGGUUAUAUAAUCCGUCUGCCCCAAAUUGCAGUGUUUAAUGGAUGACCUUAAAUUUGUCUGCAUUUUCUCCCUAUUACAAGUGCUGAAAAUCUUUUCUAGGCUUAGCUAUAAAUGUCGAAAUUUUGCUUGGGCACAAUGUGGUAGCCACUUGGUAAUUUCAGCCAUCGUGUAGACCACUACCAAAUAGAAAAAGACAUCCGGUGAAUUGAAUUCUACUAAAUUAGCCUAUACCGAUUAUUCAGUGUAUUUAGAUAUUGUUUGUAACCAUGUGCAAUGUGUGGGUACGAAUUAAAUCUAGUUAACUAAUGAAAGUGCUUUUGUGUAUGGUAGCCAAGCAAAAAUUGUUGAUUUGGUCAUUCAAAAGGUUUUGGAGGAGCUAGGCAGAAAAUAUGAGUCACAGACUGAGCAUCCGAUUGAGCUUGAUGACUUGACACAGUCACUUGAAGACUCUUAUAGUCGUGCAGUGAUGGUACCAUAUCUUCUUCUUCGUCAGUAUACAAUUGACGCACGUGAAUGCACGGAUUUGAAAUUUGGUUUGUUCUAACCUCCGCUUGAUGCUAUAAUUUGGUGAAACUACACCAAUUGCAAGAAGUUAAAUGUUAUUCCGAAAUUUACGCAGACAAGAAUAUGUUUUCCGAUCAAUUAGUGUUCCUUCAACACGUUCUUUUUAAUUGGAAAUGUUGUUUCCUAUAAAUUAAAUGAGUGCACAAAUACAAGUCUCAUAAACUGUAAUUUUUAAAUUUAUUUCUUGCUGUAUAGUUCAUCGUUGGACGUUGUGUGAUGUGAUGAGUGUUUAUCUUUUCCUAUUUUUUUUUUGUUUUUUUUUUCCAUACUAUUUGCCAUAAUCGGCCUUUUGAAUGUUCACAUUGUUGCGUACUAGCCUGCAGAUUUUGAAAAUGGUUUAGCUUAUCCCCUACCUUCUCUAGUUUUUCAUAGGGGUAAUCGGUUCCUAGUUCGGUCCGGUUCCAAGGUGGAACCAGGAACCGGACCGGGAGAAUCGGUUCCCAAAUUGGGAACCGUGGACCGGACCGUUUGGUCCUAGGACCGGGAAUCAGACCAGACCAUCAGUUUCGGCCCGGUCCGGUCCCGUCCAGCAGAAUCGACACUUUCUUUUUCACUAAAGAACAACCAUUCACUAAAGAACGAUCAUGCUCCGGACCGAUCAAUCUAAUUCGGUUCCCGAACAAUCUAAUAAAAUUACUCACACAUGUUUUCACGUGCAAAAUAUUCAAACUUUACUUGCGUGAAUAUCAAUCACAGUUUAUGUGUUGCACGCUUAAUUUUAAGCAUAAAAGCCAUGAAUAAUGUGGUUAAAGGUUGUGAUUGGCUUAGGUUUUAUAGACAAUCUCUAUGAAACUAACUAGUUUUCUCUAUAAAUAAAGAGUAACAACGAGAGCUUUGGUGGUCUCUUGGCCACAUAAGAGGUUGUUACCUCAAUUGCAAUUCCGAUUGCAAUAAGUUUAAUAGAUAAUAUUCAUAUAUUAUAUGUGUUUAUAUAUUAUAUGUAUAUAAAUUAUAUAUAAAAAAAUUUGAUCUGGUCCAGUCGGUCCGGUUCCCACCUUGGAAUCGGGAACCGAACCAACUAGCCACCGGUUCCAAGAUUAGGAACCGGGAAUUGGACCACCAACUGUGGGAACCGCCCCAAACUGGCCGGUCCGGUCCGAUCCGAUCCGGUCCUAGUUUGGGUGGUUUCCAUUGCACACCCCUAGUUUUUCAGUCUGCAUGACCAUCAAAUGUUACCUAAAAUCUUGUUGUCCUAAAGCAUUAGGACAGGAGGCUAUUCUCCAAAGAUCGAUUAGCAAAAGCAUGUCUUUGUUAAACCUCAACAGGUUCUCCAACCCCAUUCUGCCUCCUGUUUUCUGCCUUUGCUAGUUCCUCCCAUCUUCUCCAGCGUACUCAAUUUCCAUUUUAGAACUUUUCCCACAAAAAAAAAAAAAUCUGAUUUUUCGCUCGAUUGCCCUGCAAACAGAGACUGGAGUUUCAAAUAUUGACCUGGCAUGCGUUGGCAGUGCACGCGCUACUGUUUUAAUAAGUACUUUUUUCCCAGCUUUCAACAGUCUCUUUUCCUUUCCUCCCCCUGCGCCCCUUGAAGUUUCUAAAAUUCUUCCAUACAAUAAAUUGCAAAAGACAGAUCUCAUUUUUUGGGACAUUGUAUGAAAUUUUACUUAUUGUACCACCUUGACAACAGUUUUUGGUUGUCAGCAGGAUAAACAUUGCACGAUACAAACUUACCAACAAAAAAAAAAAACAUUGCAAGAUACAAAGUAAUCUUUAGGAGCCACGCGUGUCUUGAUGUGGAUCAUUAUAUGAAGUAAACAGAUGUGGCAGUUUAUACGUGCCAAUAGGAAUUAGUCAAGCUAAAUGUUAGCACUAUACUAUUCAAAGAAAAUUUUCUUUUCUUUUCUUUUUUAUAAAAAUAAUUCUAUUGACCCCAAUUUCUAGUAACCGUAGGAGUAUAAACAAUAUGUUCCACAAGAAACCUAAUCUGUUAUUGAUUAGAUGAUUAGUGAGAAAAGAUUAGCUUUAUCUUAAUUGUGCAGUGCUUAAAACUUAUGUGAAACAAUGCGGUCCAAGUGCAGCGGUAUGCCGGAAGAGUCUAAGCAGAGGAAGUAUAGGGAGAGGGACGGGUCUAAGCAGUACUAGUACAGAGAGGAGAUGGAGUAAUCUAAGCAUAAAUAGGAUGGAGGGCAUGGACAUGGAGGAGGCUAGAGUGAGUACAGGGAGGAGUGGAAGCAAAGGGAGUCUAAGCAUAAAUAGGAUGGAGGACAUGUACAUGGAGGAGGGCAGUGGGAGUACAGGGGGAGAAGUGGAAGCAGCAGAAGCGGAGGGAGCAGUGGAAGCAGCAGAAGGACUAGCAGCAGCUGAAGAGGGAGGAGCGGGAGCAGUGGAAGCAGCAGAAGGACUAGCAGCAGCUGAAGAGGGAGGAGCGGGAGCAGUGGAAGCAGCAGAGAAUAGCAGCGGGGAAGAGGAAGUGGGGGAAGCAGUGAGAGGAAGUUUUCAAGAUAUUUGUUUGGGGACGUUCUUAGUGUGCCUUCUUUAUGCAUUGUGUUUUAGCCUUUCUCUGCUUAAAAACAAGGACACAAGUCGAUAAACAGAUGGGUUAUGGAUGCUUCUUUCGUUUUUUGAUCAGCAUGGGAUGGUAAACGGCGCCGGUCAAACUUGUAAGGAGAGUUUCCAUAGAUUUGAUAAGUAUCUCAACUUCUGUAAUUCAAUCAUCUUGAGAAUUCUGAUCCCGGUGCUUGUGGUUGGGCAUAUGGUAUGAAAAUAUUUGAUCUCAAAGAGUGAAAGAAGAGAAACAUCAUGGGAAUAUAUCACCGAUAGCAGGAAAUGAACGAGGAUAGGACAUUGUGGAUAGUCGGCGUCUUACUCCCUGGAUUGGUCACUUUCUACAAUCUGUCUAAAUAGUUCAAUCAGAGGUGGCAUCUGUUUAGACUCGGCUAUGAUCCAGCACUCAACCGGACAGAAAUGGACAAUGCAGCAGUCAUUCGUUACAAUGGACACUGUAAACCAUGGUUGGAUUUGGCAGUCUCCAACUAUUUUGUAAAUCUACGAUCAGUCUUGAGUGUAUGCAUAAUAACCCAAUCAAAGAGAAGGAACUUUGCCAUGCAAUUACAUUUCAAUUUAACGUUCCUGAGAAUUGCCGACACAGUCUCGCAGGUUAGAGAACUGUCCUCCAGUGGAAGAUGGCAUGAAGUGUUAGUCCACUUUAACAAAGCGAAGUGAGCAGGAAUUGAAAUCACUGAGCCUUCCAUGAUUAAGUCUGUUGUCAAAGCGUCGUCAAAGCGUCUUUCAAAGGUAUCCAAUAAACAAGGGAAGUCCAUCCAUGCUUGUGUGCUCAAGCAGGGUCUCGACACAUUCUCUUCCAUCAGCAAUUCUGUCAUGGAUUCGUACAUGAAGUGCAAGGACUUGGAAUCCGCGUUGGGCGCCUUCUGGUCAAUGCAAAGCAUGGACUCCGUGUUGCAGAAUGUGCUCACUCGCAGGUUUCUUCAUCAGGGAAAUUUGGGAUGAAGGUUGUCAUGAUUUUGGCGAGCCCAAGUUGAUGGAUUCGAACCCAAUGUCUCCACUUUGGUACUGGUUCUCCAGGCGCAUAUGUGGAUGUUGAUAUGGAGCGAGCAGAUGGACUUUCAUACGCUCUUGAAGUUCAUCAACGAGUGGAGUGGGCACAUUGAUCUCGAUUCAAUCUUAGGAAUGCAGAGACAUUAUGCAAAUGUGCAGGGAUGGUUUGUUCAAAACAGAGAUGAGCAUGAAAAGGCACAAGGUUUCAGGAUGUGCCCGGACAAGAUAUGAUGAAGUAUGAUCACCUGACUUAAUGUGAAAAACAUCGGAUCAGCAUUUAAAUUAUGGGGGAAAUCUCUCCUUCCCCGCCAAUGAGGUGUGUUGAGGCCAUCAAAUUUAUCACUAAAGGAUGUAUCAUUGAGCCCAAUUAAGUAUGGAAAUAACACGUUCUAUUUUCUUUUCUCACAGGGGAAUAAUUGAGGCAAUUCCUGAUGAAUGAAGACAUGAAGCAAAAUGAAAUUGAUUCAACACAAGAAGGGUGUAUCGUUCCUAAAUUAGUCCAAUUCAAGUUUGAAAUGCAAGUAACAUGUCCCAUCUCUUGUAGGACAAGGCGCACAUCAACCGCGGGAGCGACGCCUUCUACCAAGUUGGCAUGCUAAGGCCCAACCAUCCAUUUUGUUGUAAAGGAUGUAUAUCGUUCGUAAAAUGAUUUCUAGUCAAGUGUGAAAAUAACAUGCCCAGUCUUCUAAAUGUCUCUUUGAGCAGAGCAUUCGAAAAGAGCAAGAAUUGAACUUUGUGGAUUAUCAUAUGCAGUAAAGAAAUGUUUUUCAUAAAUAAAAUCAAGGGAUAGAGGCAUUUUUCAAGCAAUCCUGUCACUUUAGGUGAUUUAUGUCAUGCAUAUCAUGCAUAUAUCCUUCAUAAUAUUUUCCUAACAUGUGUUGUCGUCAUUCUUGAUAGGAAAUGUCAGUACCCGAAAAACAAAAACACGUGAAGGGUAAAUUGUAUCGAUUCUAAUUGCUGAUUUUGAUACUGUUUCUAACGUGAUUUUCUUUUCCUUUGAUUUGGAUUACAUCAAACACUUGUAAGAGGUGUGGUACUAUUCUGAUUAGUCGUUGUGUUAACGGGUACUGAUGAUUAUAACACAAGCUUGUAGGAUUUUUUAGUAGGAAAUGACAAUGAUAGUAGAUGUUCCAAUCAAAAAAGCUAGCACAAAUCGAGAAAGGGAAACAAAUUACUCGUACUUUGAGCUGUUCGCAAGGUGAUAUGCUUCUUUUUGGAUCAUAACCAUGAGGAGAAGGAGAGCGCGUGGGGGGGGGCGGUGGUGGUGGUGUUGAGGAUUUCUAACUUGACAGUACCAUUUGCUUUGUAUCAUCUAUGUAUGAUGAGUUGCCGAGAGAUUGUCUCCCCUCUGGUUAACAGAACUUGUUCUUCACAUGCAGAGUCUUGACCGUAUAAAUAUGUCAGCUUUUGGAAGGUACAAAUGCUCAAUACUAGACACGCAAGCUAGGUUGCUGUUAGACACGCUGGGGAAGAGUAUCGAGUCUGCUUUGGUGUAUCCUCGAGCAUUAGUAGCUGAGCCAUGGCAGGCAUCCAGUGAAAUGUUUCCUGGAAUUGAUCCUUGUAGGAGAUAUGCAAAGAUCAAUUUGUUGGAGAUAUGCGAGAUAUGCAAAGAUCAAUUUGGGAUCAUAAUUGAUCUAUAGUAUUGUUUCAAAAAUCAAUUUAGAAUUAGAUUUGAUUUUAUUUGAUUUCAUGUAUUGGGUCUUAUUUCUUCUUUAGUUAUAUAUCAAUUGUAUUAUAAAUAGGAGUGGAUUCUUGCAAAGGACAAUUCAUUCAAUACAGAAUACAGAUUUCUCCCAAGUCUCUCCCUUUUCUUUCAUUUUGUAACGAUCCUGAAGCUCUUGCCGUUGAACUGGCACUUGUCCCAACUGUAUACUUAUCUUCAUUUUGAUUUUUGCUCUUAUAUCUCCUUGUUGUGACAUGGAAGUUUGAAAUGCAGAUCUUCUGGCUGUGUUCUUGCCAUGGCUUGAGGCCAUUAUUUAGAUGAUCAUCUUCAUGUCUGGUUUCUAAACUGAAAUUCCUUUAUGGGCACUGUGAUGGUGAAAUUUACUUACAAAAGAUGUAGGACAAAUAAGCUUUUCAAUUAAAGAAACGUAGCUUUUGCUGAAAAAGUGGUUGCCCAGAUAUCUUUUAGCUUUCAAAUGAUGCUACGUAGGAAAUAUAUCAAGAUCCUCAUUCGAUGCAUGAAAUAAAUGACUAUGACAUAUUCUUGCUUAGAGUUGUCUUAAGGUUGCAUUCACUUUCAAAGGCGAUGCAUUUGUCGUGUACCCUGCUGCUGUCUCCUCCACAUAUUAUCGACCUUUUCUUCAAUCUAGACUGGCAAUUGAUUUCAGCUGAAACAAAGUAACGAUAGUAUAUAUGUUUCAGACUGUCAAAAGUGUCUCGCAGGCUUAUGUUGAUGCAGUUCUUGAUCUGGCUUGACAUUUUAUCACCAAUUUCAUUCAACCUUUUCUUGAUGCAGUUCUUGAUCUGGCUUAUGCUGUCUCCUCCCCUUCUUCAAAUCAGUCUAUGGCAAUUUACUUCAGUUGAAAUAAAGAUAUGAUAGUAUCCAUAGAUCAGACUGUCAUAGGUGUCUCGCAGGCUUAUGUUGAUGCAGUUCUUGAUCUGGCUUCACAUUUUAAAAUUGUUCCCAAACCACAAGAACAUAACUAAAAUCAAAAAGCGCCAGCAGCGAAUUCAAUUCAGGCAUAAUCAGAGAGAAAAACGCGCCGCGUUGAUGAAUCGACACUACACGAUUCGCAAAACCCCCUCCCCCCAAGCCACAGCCAUUAGCCCGACAAUUACCAAAUGAAUUUGAGCCAUGAAUCUACUCUAGACCGUCUCCAACCCAUAUUAAAUUAACCCCAAGAAAACCCGAUUAAAAAGCGCAGCUUGACCUGCAGAAACCACCGCCUCCGACCCAAUCCGUAACGGACUACCAGAAAAACAAAUUUGAGGAAUUCCUCUCUGCACAACUGACCCGGGCGACAAAUAUUUUUUUGAAAAUAAAAAAGAAAAUGUAAUGAAAAGGCAUUCGGGUAAUCUAGCAUAGUGAAGUCCCCAAAUCCAUUUAAUCUCUCUCACACAUUUUACUUGGAUUUUUAAUCGACCCAUUAAAAGCUGAUUAGGUCUCGUGGUGGUGCUCGGCCUUGGUUGAUGGCGCCAUGAGGAUGGAUGGUCUCGACGUGAUGUGACUCCGUGGGUUGGUGCUCAUGCGGCUCUCAAUGAAUCCAGUCAACAAUUGAAUCUCUCUGUGAAGCUUCACUGAGUUUUCCGCUGGCCAAAGAAGCACCCAAAGUACAAGUUUUUCCCCCUACCCUAGGGAAUUUCUCAUACCACCGUGUCAAACAGAUUACCUGAUCUAGUCUUUUUGUUAUUAAUGGUGGAUAUAUGUUAUGACGGUUAUCUCUCAAUGUUAGUGAUUUCUUUUGGCUGGAUUGUUUUUCUAGACGUUGUUUGCGGGUUGUCACACACGAUUUAUAUUUUAACGGUGGAUAUAAUUUGAGAUUUUUUAUGGUAUAAACCUUAAAAAAGAAUUGGGUAUUUUGAGUUGACCUGAUUAACUAUGGUCUUUAGAAUAGUUUGCAAUUUUGGGAAUGCGAAAGUUCAUUUGUUGCUUCUGUGUUCCUUGUACACACGAGCGAUGUGAUACUCAGAAUUAGAGUUGAUUUUGAGGUCAAGGAUGGAGGAUUGGAGAGGGAAGAUUAGAGGAUUUAAGGUGAUUUGGCAAGCAGGUCAAGAAAAUAUAUCUGCAUCUCAUGUAGAUUGGGAGCAUGUUAAGAAAAUAUAUGCAUCUCCUGUAGAUUAGAAGAGACUUGAAGAUCUAUGUAGCAAUUCUUGUUUUUAUAUAUAUGUGUGUGAAGCUCGAGAUGUGAUAUGUAUAGCCCCAUAUUUGAGGUUGAUGGGCUAUCGCAAAUUCAUAGGAGAACAGCACCAAGGAAGGAUAUGAUCGGAUGAAACUUUAACUCGAAGUGAAAAAGGGUGAGCCAAGUGAGUCCAAUUGGGGGGAUGAUAUUGAGCGUGUGAAAGCCCACAACUUAGUGAUAGUGACGGCAGCGGCGCCAAGUCUUGGGGCCAGUAUAGGUGGGUGACUUCGGAAGCACUACCAAUGGCCACGACUAAGUCUAACAUCAUUGCCAAGUUCGCUCAUGGCGGCGGCGGCGGCAGCAUUAAAUCACAGUACGGUAGCUCAAUUUGUCCUUUUACUGUCUUUUUCAUCUUCUCCACGCUGUAAACAAGGCUUUGCUUAUGGUGCCUAGAAGACAAUGUUGAAUUCCAUCGGUUCAUUUUCAUCGUAAUACAACACAAAGCAUCUUGAGUUACAACAUCUCAAUGAUAAUUACAUGAAAUAACUAUAUUCAUAAUCAAAUUCACAUUUGACACAUUCAUUAAUGUGUCAUGCAACACGACGCUAGAUGUCUAAAAUAUGAAUUUUCACACAUUUAAUUACCCUUCUCGCCUAAUUUGAACUUUGAUUUAGCAAGACGGGCAUUUCAUCUUCAAUCGAACAGAACAAACUAAUAGUACAUAUUCUAAUCAAUCUCCAUUGUGGAAAUGGCUUCAUUGAUCUCCUGAAGUUUCUUCCUUCUUUGCCUUGUCAAUGCAACGCAUCACUGCAAGCACAGCAACAUUCCCCAUCAUCAUCACAUUAAAGCUACCAUUUGGACUAUUAUACAAUCUCUAUAUGAAAGGUGUUGAAACGUAUACACCUCAUAUAUAUAGUUUUUCCCUUUCUUUCCCUGGGAUAGAAAUAGAUUUAUUUUAAAAAACCAAGGAAAUGAAAACAUUAAAAUGAAAGAUCAACCAGAUGGGCCAAGGAACUGCCAACAUCCUAAAGUCCAUUAAUCCUGGCAAAUAUAAUCAUGUAUAUAAAGCAGAGACAGCUGCUUAUCCAAUGUGCACUACAUUACUUCGUAUGUUUCAGGCUAUUAGCUAUUGAAAACACUUGCGGGUGGAUUGUCAUGUCAUCCGCUGAACCACCAUUUGCAUAAGAAGCUUAUCAACUUCCACAAGUUCUUGAAUGUUCUACAUGUCACAUUGGGAUUGUCCACUAACCAACCCCGAGUUACUUUAAAGAACUCAAGAUCCGUCUUUUGCAUAAUUAGACUGACUGGAGUACAGUUAGAGCAAGAAUGCAGUUGACUCAACAGUAUGAAAGCCAAUAACCAUUUGAUCCCAAUCGCAUGAAAUGGGGCCUCUAAGUACAAUUCUCAAACAAUGAAUGAACAAAUAAAUGAAAUGAGGAACAAGGAGAAAAUAACCUGAAUAGCCGAUGUAUGUGCAAGAACUGGUCCACCUGGCUUAUAGAGAGAGACAAGUUGACCAGAUGAAUUCAAAACCACAGUCAUGAACGUUUCCAUUAUGGACACUUCUUCGAAAGUAGGGCAAGAUGUAGUUCCUGUGAAGAAUGCAAGUCAGGGAAAACGGAAUGCUUUUCAACAAGAGUUUUCUCCUCUCUUUGUCGACAGGUUCUUUAUCCAACUUUUCACCCUCAAGUUCCUCAGAGACCAUCACCAUUCUUCCUUCAUCAUUCAAAGAAACCACCGGGAUAUGCACUACAAGGUUCAAAACAACAAAAAUUUUCAAGUGAUCAUCCGGGAAGUGACAUGAAAUCCCCAGAAGAAUAGAGGAAAAGGAAACACAUAGCAUCACUAUGAGGAUGCAAUCUUUGGUACCACACUGAAAGAAUAGCAAAAGUGAGAGCGUAAACAAGGCAUGACAGAUCAGCAAAAGAAAAGGAAAAAGCCUUUUGAAUGUUCAUCAAAUGAAAAAUCAUUGUUAGUAGCUAGAUCUUCCUUAAAUCAUACGUUUCAACCUGAAAUUAUUGCACUGGAAACCCAAACAUCUAGGACAAUGUUCAAUCGAAUCACGAAACUUCAAGAAUUUUCAAUGAAGCCCUUUAACUUCUGAAGAGAUUGCAUGAGCAGUUAGUUUGUAUAAGACUGGUGCUCUUAUCUAUCUCAUUGAAGAAUAGAGGAUUAUUCAACUGGGUCUUCCUUUAUUGGUAGAAAAAUGAGAAACCAUGAAAUGUUUAAUGUCAAUGGCUUUCCAGGUCAGAUUCGAAUCAGGCUAAGAGCACAAAGGAAGAUUUUGUUGAUCACCAUAGACUUUAGCAAAGGCAAGUGGGAUAAUUACGACUCUUUCCUUCCUUAGGUGAUUCUUAUUGCUUUUCUCUGUCAGCAACUUGUACCAAGUAUCUCUUUAAAAUGCAAAUCAGUUGAGCUAGAGUCCAUUCAUAAGCAAAUCACCUUAAGAAUUUAUUAAGCUAGAGCUAUCUGACAUUCAUAAGUGUUGGAAAUGGUGAUCCAUUUUCUAGAAUUUUUGCUAAACUUCUAGAAUUCCCUAGAUGAAGUUUCUGGAAGAAAGAGAAAAAUGUAGAAGCAUAUGUGUAGAUCUCUCUAGAAGAAGAGAAGAUAAACUACAAUCUAGAACUCUCUAGAUUAAGCCUAAGUGGACAACAUUCUACACAAAUCUAGAAUGUUGGUAGAGCACCCUAUAAAUAGGAAAGAGGGGAGAGCAUAAUAGAACAACAAAUGUAAGAGAGUGAGAGGAGCUACUCCAUAUCAUGAAGCUCCUCAACCAACACUUCCUUCAACUAUUGUAAAAUUAUUUUAUCCAACUAAUAAAACUAUUUUCCAUAUCCCAUGUUCUUUGUCCUUCAAUUAUCCUAGUCUAUCCCUUGUCCAUCCACUACAAAUUAUAUCACAUACUUGCACACCACGUCACUAAUUAAAAACUAUCAUCAAUACCAAAACCAUACUUCCGCAGCGCACACGUCCAAAAUUUUUUUUAACAAUAAGCAAGUCACACAUCUUUUGCAAUCAUAGACAACUGCAAUUUGGAGCAAAAUCACAAGAUGUAAUAUAUUGAAGAUCCAUUUUAUAUCAACUCACAAAAGUCAUCAACCAAGUGGUAGAAUAGGCUAUGCAAGAAAAAGAAAGCCAAAAAUCAAGUUAAACAAAAAUGUCAGCAUCUAAAUUGUGAAGGAUGAAAUAUCUUACAAUGAGAAAAUGCAGCAACCGCUGAAGCAAAGCAGCAUCAAGUCAAUAUAUAUUCUGCAACACAUGAAAGAUAAAUGUAAGCAAGAACAUUUUGAGGCAACAUGUAUGGUAUUUAUUGAAGUAGCUCUCCCAGCAAAAAGUUGCCCCCAGUCACAAGGUCCAAAGAUUAAUGCAGCUAAAGAGAAAACCCUGCACUCUAUCCUAAAUUACGCAUCAUAACAUCUGGCAUGAAGUAUUACCAGGUACGCCAUCCAAGCUGCUUUUCCUUUGAUCAGGGAUAGCUCCUUCAGAUCAAUCAUCCCAGAGCUGCAAUAACCAAAUGAUUACUGAUUCCAGCACAUGAAUAUUAACCAGCACAUGACCCAAGAAGGUAUUAAAACAUAAAAUCGUUUUAAGAAACUGGAAUAUAAUUGUCCGGGAAUUAAAUGACACGAUGACAAGUGCCAAAGGAAGACAAGAAAGCACAAAUUAUGGACUUGAGGGAAACCUCAUGACCAAUUUAGUAAGGUAUCCUUCGAUGUUAAUUUACUACCUUUGAACCUAUGGGUUAUUUUGUGACACAAAUUGAUCAUAAGAGGAUAUAUGGGGAUCUGGACUUGGUAGAACCUAUAGGAACCCUCCUUCCAAGUGUACUCACAAGGUAUCUGCAACUAAAUUGAAGAUGUUCAGAGCCAAUAUCUCCAUGAAGUGUAGGUUACACUGAAAAAGUGAAUGGUCUUUCCUCCCCCUUCCCUUCAGGAACAAACUAGCAUUUGAGUUUGAAUGCCUGGAAAAACGCUAGGAAAGCCAGAGCAAAGAAAAAUCAAUGUUUUCCUGCAACCAAGAGCAAGUUUACUCUUCACAUAAUCUCUAUCCCGAAUAUAAGUCUAAGUGACAACAAAUCCUCUUAACUUCUGUGGCUUUCAGUAAACUUCUCAAAGAGUUAUCCCACUUUUUUUAUUUGAGAGUUAGCAGCAGGCUUUACAGGGGCAAGAUUGGUGCUACUCUAUAUAAUCUGUGUAGACUUAUUGCUACAUGAUCAAGUGACUUCCUGAAAUUUUGCUUCAACCAAAGAGUGACAUUACUUGCCUAUUUAGUAGACCCAAUGGAAUUUUCCAUACAGAAAACAAUAAAAAAGUUCAGUCAAAAUAGUCACGGGCACAAGGUGUAUACGGUUUAGAACUUUAUGCCUUUCAUAUAUAAUAGCAAGACGCCCACAAAUAUACAGAUGGCAUACAACAAGGUAUUGUUAAUAGCAUAUCACCCUUCCGCUGAAGAAACAGGAGAAAAAUAAAAGAUUCAAGAAGUCAAUGCAAGCUGAAAAAAAAAAAUGGAACUUUACCAAUUUCACAUGCCUUAAUAAAGAGUCAAAAAGUUGCUUGGAUAUCACUGGUGCUACCUCAGCAGGCCCACCUGGCCUCACGACUGGAUAGCAUAUAGAGGGCAUAUGAAACUCAACCGCUGAAAAUAACACACAGUCACAUGCCAGUGUCAAAGAAACCCUAGUAAAAAGAAAAGCGAUUGACUGGUCCAUGGCUGCUUACCUAUUCUGCCUCCAUCAGGCGAAUCGACAGGAGUCAUGACUUCCAUUUUUAUAGCAGCCAACAUUGUCUGUGGAAAAUAUGAUUGCAUAUGUUUUAAUUAAAUGUACUCGUAAAAGAGCAAACCCUAUAAGCUUCACAAGAGUAACAAUUAAGGUCCACCUUAAAUGAUUCAACCGCAUGCCAAAAUUAAUCAUUGAAACAAAUAUAAAGGAAGAGAUAGAAACUAUAUGUUGGUUCAGCUACAAGUAAAUACAUAUGCAACUACUUUGAACAUGCUGAACUGCAGGAGUGCGUCGGCAUAUGCAUCACAUCUACACAAGAGACUGAAAAGGGGAAAAACUCACGGUGGAACCAAUCUUUGCCAGCGCAGACCCAUCGGAGGAUGCAACAGCCCCUGUAUUAUCAAUGCUAAGCAAUCAUGGGAGGCAUACAACCCGCGGGGGCUAGAUGAAGGAAGGGAAAACAAAUCACCAGAUAAACAAAAAGCUAAACAAACUGACCAAGGGACACAAUAGUAUCUCUGGCUCUUUUCAAGGAUCUGGCAUCGGGCCGUAUCGAUUCGGAGAGAUGCCGCUCAUAGUAGCGAAGAGGGAAGAGGCGUCUGAAAGCACUGACCUCCAUCUCGGACGACCAAUCUCCAACAGCAUUCGGCGUCCCCAUUUCUAUGGCUGUAGAUUUCCGGCAAGGAGAACCGAGAUUAAAACUGCGAAUUAAAAAGAGCCCAUUAAGGUUGACCCCAUAUAUGUCCCAACUCUUUACAAAAAUUUGAAUUUUACUGAUAAAACACUAAAAUUUGUCCCAACCCACGAGCAUGGUGAGAGCAACCAUCUGGUUUUCUCAAAAAGGAACGGUUUUUUUUUCCUCUGGCCAGCAUUUAUUCAAGCACACUAGACAUAUACAGGUGAAAAGCUUCGACGAAGAACUCAGAAGAUAAUAAGGCAAACUCUCAGCAUUGCAUACGGUUCAAGAGCAAUAAAACAAACAGGUGGAGAUGGUGCGCGAGUAAAAGGGUAAAGAUGGAGUCUUUCGGAACAAGCACCAAUCUCCGAAGUAACCCGGCUGUUACCUGUAAGUUCGAAGCCCAGCUCCGAUGCCGGUAGCCACAGAGAGAGACAGAGAGAGACGUUAGGUUAAGAGCAAGAGCAAGGUCGGGGCAAACAGGGUAAAGAGGCCUGCAGAACAAGACGACGGCCAGGCAAAAUCGACUGCUAAAUUCUCUCUCUCUCUCCCCCCCCCCCCCCCCCCCCCCCCUUUUUAAUUUUAGUGGAAGCCGUAAAUAAUGCUGAGCAUUUACAAAAUAUAUUCGUCAAAGUGAAUUUUUUUUCCCGACCAAAAAUCAAGUCAGUGCUUUUGCGUCGUACACAUGUGGAUCGAAAUGCUGAUGUGAUUUUUCAUAGUUUAAUUUAGGAAAAAAUUUCAAAUAAUGAUAUGAAAUAUUUUCAUUUUUUCAAAUAAGAGUCCAAAAUGGACAUUAUCUUAAAUAAAUGCCCGAAAUAAUCAAAUUAUCUCAAAUAAUAAUUUGAAGUGGUACUUAUUUCAACUAAAAACCCGAAGUUAGCAUAUUAGUCUCAUAAAAGGUGUUUAACCUAUCUGAUUAAAAGGCAUUUUUAUAUUUUAUCUUUCAAAAAAAAGAAAUUUCUUUUUUUCUUUUUCCCUCUUUCCUUUGCUAGCCAUGGCGAAGGGAAGUUAAACCCAAGUGAGGACUAGGGUUGCCCUCGCCAGCAUUGGGCAAGGGCAACCCUUGCUCGACUUAAGCAAUGCCCAAGCUAGGCGAGGGUUGCCCUGUUCCAAUGCAGGCAAGGGUCGCCCUUGUCGGAUCUAGUAAGGGCUACUCUCGCUUGACGCUGGUGAGGGCGACCUUCACCGAGCGUCAACGACCAUGUCCGAAGAAGGGAAAAGGAAAAAAGGAAAAGAAAAGAAUAAAGGAUUGAAAAAUAAAAAAAAAUAUAGUUACAACUUUUUAACCAAAACACCCCUUCUCCAAUGGUUGAAAAAGUCGGCCUCAGUCAAAAACCCUUAUUUGAGAUGAUUUGGCCACCGAAAUAAUUUGGCCACUUCAAGCUUUUUCUUUAAACAAUAUCCAAUUUAAACCCUUAUUGAAGAAAACUAGGGCACUUCAUGCCCUUUUUUGAAAGUUUCCUUUAAUUUAAUUACGGUUGUGGAAAGUAAAGGGUGGAAAAAUUGCAAUUAAAAAUAAAAAAAAAAACCUAGAGAGAGAAAAGGUGAGUGAAACAAAGAUAGCGAGGGAGAGAGGUUGUCCAAGCACCAGCGAGGGCCGACAACCCUCACCGACUAAGGUGAACCAACAAUGUUGUCACCAAUUGAGUUGAUUUUUUUUUUUUUUUUGGCUAAAGAAAGAAGGGCAAAUACCACAAAAAGUCCCAAAUUAGGUCAAAUGUGACAUAAAUACUCUAAAUUUUUUUCAUAUCUCACAAGGUUCUAAACUUAUUCACUAUGACACAAUAACUCCCAUUUUUUUCUUUUUGUCAAGAAAAAGAAACUUGAACUUUGAUUAUUUAUUUUAGUUCUAUCCAAGGUAUAUUUAUGACGUUAGUAUAAGUUUGGAAUUUGUUAUGUUAUAAAAAUAUCGAGGUAUUUAUGUCACAAUUGGCAAUUUUUUUUUUUUAAUGAUUUUAACCCAAAAAAGAAUCGGAUCUUUGGAAUAGCUUAAAAUUUUGGGAACGUGGAAGUUCAUUUGCUACUUCUUUGUUCCUUCUACCCACGGGCAACGAAAUACUUAGAAUUAGAGUUGAUUUUGAGAUCAAAGAUGGAAGAUUGGAGAGUGAAGAUCAAAGGAUUUAAGGUGAUUGAAAAUUAGGUCAAGAAAAUAUCUGCAUCUCAUGUAGAUUGGGAGGGACUUGAAGAUCUACAUGGCCAUUCUUGUUGGAGUUCUUGAUUUAUGUAGCUUGCAUUUCUCGAAGAUCUGCACAAAGUCACUUUGGGUGAGGGUUGUUGAGGGGACUAGGCGAGCUGAUGUAACCGCCGUCGGCAACCAUACCGUUGCCUAUCCUCUUUGUUCUUUGUUUACAUACAUGUGAAGGCACGGGUAUUUUUAUGUUCAGUGAUGGAGGUAUGCUAUCUGAACAAUGGAUUUCCAUCCAUGAGCACCCAUUACUGCUAAGUCAUGGAAUUGAACUAGGAGAUCAAAAGACACACCCAGGAUCUCGUACGAUGGAACUCACGAUUAUGGACUUGAACGAACCCAUAACCGGGGAAUCACCGUACAGCAUGCAGCCAGCGACGCAAACCCGGAGCGACACUAGCAUAGGGACCCACCUCCCACAACGCCGCACUUAAGUUACGCAAUGCGCACUCGGUGACUUGAACCUCCCCCCUUCCGCAAUUAGAGGGGGAAAGGCCCAAACCAACUCGCCCAUGGUGGGGUGGAUAUGAAACAUUUUUUUUAUCCCUCAUUUUGGAAGAAAUAAAGGUAUUUACAUGCUUAAAACUCAAAAUACUAGACCUGCUUUGGCCAAGGAAAUGCAAUUGUAUUUUCUCAAAAUUCUUCAAAAGAAAUAUACCAAACAAGGCCUUAAGGACAUAUAAAACUCAAAGGCUUUGAAAAAGUAGUUUUUGAAUCCACCCUUAUUAUCAAAUGACACGAGGCAAUUAAGUGCUCAUGUUUUUCCUUUUCUUUUUAAAAAAAAUAAUUUGAAUUUUAUUAACUUUUAAGCUAAUGUAAUUUAAAUUUAACUGGUAUUUUAAGGAAAACAACUCUUAUUAGCCGAAAAUUGGGUAGCAUUGAUGGAACUCCCCUGCCCUUGAGAGUCAUGAAAAAACAAGGUAAGACAAUUGCCCAUUGAUUAGUUGUUGCCAUCCAUUUAGUUUAUCCAUUUAAUUUGACCAUAUGAGUCGCAAUCAAUCACAUGACUAAAUGGGGGUCACACUCGGUUGAAAGGAUAGGGACUUUUCCAAAAGUUAGGGACUUUUAGGGAGUACCUCCUCAUUUCAGGCUAAUCAUCAUAAUCCAAAUUAUAUUUUAUUGAGUAAGGUUGCUUCAAUGUUAUUGAGGGGUGUUGAAUAAGAUCAAAUCUCAUUUCAAACUACUCGUCAUAAUAAUCUAAAUCAUAUUAUAUUGAGUAAGGUUGUUUCAACGCUAAUGAGGGGUAUUGAUCUUAUUCAACAGCUCUCACCCCUCUGUAACGUUGAAACAACCUUACUCACUAUAUAAUAUGAUUCGGACUAUUAUGACGAGGAGGGACGAGUGUCCUAUAAAUAAUCAAAUAUUGUCUGUGCUCCUCUGCACUCAUUGACGUCGACGACGGCACUGCCCCCCCCCCCCCCCAGCCAAUAUUUGAUUAUUUAUAGGUGCUCACCGCCGCCGCCGCCUCCUCUCUUCGGACGAGUUGCUUUGCUGUCCAAGCCGCGACGACCGCCUCCGACGAGCGACGGCGACCCACUCCCGACGUCUGCUGCUCACCGCCGCCGCCGCCUCCUCUCUUCCGACGAGCUGCUUUGCAGUCCAAGCCGCGACGAGCACCUCCGACGGCACUGCCCUCUCCUUCCGCCGAACCUAUCUGAUGUCAUUCCCCUCUCUCCACAAAAUAAAAAAUAAAAAAUGCUCCCUCAAAUUUGGGAUUUUGAAGCUGAGAGCCUGUUUUGUUCUGCAUUUCUUCUCUAGGCCUUGAUUUCUUUUCUUCUCUUCUUUCGCUGGGCCCGGGCCCGCGGGAGGCCGUCGUGUCCAUCGCCGAACCUAACGAGCUGCCGCUCCUUCCCACACCUCCAACUACCGGAGACGACGCGGGUGCUCUCUGUCCCAAGCCGCAGCUGUUGCAUCAUGAUGUCGAGCCUGUUUUCGUUCGGUCGGCGUUCCUCGUGGCUUCGUCUUGCAUCGCUACCCCCGGCCGAAAGUCACUGCCGAGACGAAUCGCCAAUCGUCGGCCGAAUCACCGCUGCGUGCACCUUGCCGAACCACCGCCGUGGCCAUCCUUUGCCAGGGAGUACCGUACCGGGCAUCCGUCGAGCCGAUUCCGAUGAAGUCCAUCCUGUGAAUUUAGGUAAUAUAUCGUUCGAAUUUGUUUGAGUUUUUGCAUGUGAUUGUGCACUCUGAGCAGAAAUCCCCUUCGCUAAAUCUCUUUGCGCACGCCUUCAGCUGCUGGAUGAUCUUUUUUUCUUCUUCUUUUUUCGUGUCUGUGUACGGACCGCUUACCAUUAACAUACAGUAUAUUUCCGAGGAUCUCCGUCUUCAUCUCCGCGUGCUCUGCCGCGGAAGCAUUCCAAAAACCUCAGCUCACUUCCUGGCCAGGCCACGCCACACCAAGUUACCAACCUCUUUUUCUCUUCUGGAGAGGGAGAGAGAGGUCUGGAAGAUAUGGCACCCUCGAAAGCCAGAGCCUUUGAGUUCGAUGUGUUCUUGAGUUUUAGUGGAGCGGAUACUCGUUUUGACUUCACGGACUUCCUCAGUAGAGACUUGAAUAAUGCCGGAAUCCGCGUAUUCAGGGACGAAGAUGCAAUCGAGGUGGGUGAUAAGAUUGGCCAGACAAUUCUACAAGCUAUUGACAACUCCAAAAUCUACGUACCCAUCAUCUCUCAAACUUAUCCUGACAGUGAAUGGUGUCUCAUCGAGCUUGAACACAUGAUGCACAAUGUGUUUACGGCGAAUGCCAAAAAAAAGAUUUUUCCCAUCUUUUAUAAAGUGGAACCUGCGCAUGUUAAACGUCGGACUCCACGCCCCAAAAAUCUUUCCUCCGAAGAGGCUCUUGCGAAGGUUGGUCAAAUCAAGGGGUGGAAGGUCGAGGAGGGACAAAGGUAAAACUACCUUUAAGAUGCCUGCAUAAUUCUUCCUUUUUUUGGUUUUUGUUUGAUAAAACAUUGCCCUAUCAAAUCAUUUAUUUUCUUCUUCUUUUUUAAAUGGAAAAUUUCGAUAACCACUUCCAACUUCAAGUGCUACUCCUUUUGAACUUUACAACCUCUACUCGACUCGAGACAUCUUCUCUAAUAUUUCAGUUGUUAUAGCCACUGCUGGCGCUGGGGAACUUGUUACGGGUUUUGGGGUUAUAUAAUCUGUCUUCCCCUAAUUGCAGUGUUCAAUGGAUGGCCUUGAAUUUGUCUGCAUUUUCUCCCUAUUACAAGUGCUGAAAAUCUUUUCUAGGCUUAGCUAUAAAUGCCGAAAUUUUGCUUGGGCACUAUGUAGUAGCCACUUGGUAAUUUCAGCCAUCGUGUAGACCACUACCAAAUAGAAAAAGGCAUCCGGUGAAUUGAAUUCUACUAAAUUAGCCUAUACUGAUUAUUCAGUGUAUUUAGAUAUUGUUUGUAACCACGUGCGAUGUGUCGAUAUGAAUUAAAUCUAGUCAACUAAUGAAAGCGCUUUUGUGUAUGGUAGCCAAGCCAAAAUUGUUGAUUCGGUCGUUCGAAAGGUUUUGGAGGAGCUAGGCAGAAAAGAUGAGUCACAGACUGAGCAUACGAUUGAGCUUGAUGACUUGACACAGUCACUUGAAGACUCUUAUAAUCAUGCAGUGAUGGUACCAUAUCUUCUUCUCUGUCAAUAUACAAUUGACGCACGUGAAUGCAUGGAUUUGAAAUUUGAUUUGUUCUAACCUUGGCUUGAUGCUAUAAUUUGGUGAAACUACACAAAUUGCAAGAAGUUAAAUGUUAUUCCAAAAUUUACGCGGACAAAAAUAUAUUUUCCGAUCAAUUAGUGUUCCUUCAACACGUUCUUUUUAAUUGGAAAUGUUGUUUCCUAUAAAUUAAAUGAGUACACAAAUACAAGUCUCAUAAACUGUAAAAUUUAAAUUUAUUUCUUGCCGUAUAAUUCAUUGUUGGACAUUGUAUAAUGUGAUGAGUGUUUAUUUUUUCCUUUUUUUUUUUUUUUUAAUUUCAUGCUAUUUGCAAUAAUCGCCCUUUUGAACGUUCACAUUGUUGCGUACUAGCCUGCAGAUUUUGAAAAUGGUUUAGCUUAUCCCCUACCUUCUCUAGUUUUUCAGUUUGCAUGACCAUCAAAUGUUACCUAAAAUCUUGUUGUCCUAAAGCAUUAGGACAGGAGGCUAUUCUCCAAAGAUCCAUUAGCAAAAGCAUGGCUUUGUUAAAGCUCGACAGGUUCUCCAACCCCAUUCUGCCUCCCGUUUUCUGCCUUUGCUAGUUCCUCCCAUCUUCUCCAACGUACUCAAUUUCCAUUUUAGAAUUUUCCCACCAAAAAAAAAAAAAAAAUCUGAUUAUUCGCUCGAUUGCCCUGCAACAGAGACUGGAGUUUCAAUUAUUGACAUGGCAUGCGUUGGCAGUGCACGUGCUACUGUUUUAAUAAGUACUUUUUUCCCAGCUUUCAACAGUCUCUUUUCCUUUCCUCCCCCUGCCCCCUUCAAGUUUUGAAAAUCCUUCCAUACAAUGAAUUCCAAAGACAGAUCUCAUUUUUUGGGACAGUGUAUGAAAUUUUACUUAUUGUACCGCCUUGACAACAGUUUUGGUUGUCAGCAGGAUAAACAUUGCAAGAUACAAAGUAAUCUUUAGGAGCCACACGUGUCUUGAUGUGGAUCAUUAUAUGAAGUACAUAGAUGUGGUAGUUUAUAUGUGUCAAUAGGAAUUAGUCAAGCUAAAUGUUAGCACUAUACUAUUCAAAGAAACUUUUCUUUUCUUUUCUUUCUUUUCUUUUUUAUAAAAAUAAUUCUAUUGACCCCAAUUUUCGAGUAAUCGUAGGAGUAUAAACAUUAUGUUCCACAAGAAACCUAAUCUGUUCUUGAUUAGAUGAUUAGUGAGAAAAGAUUAGCAUUAUCUUAAUUGUGCAGUGCUUAAAACUUAUGUGAAACAAUGCGGUCCAAGUGCAGCGGUAUGCCGGAAGAGAGAGUCUAAGCAGAGGAAGUAUAGGGAGAGGGACGAGUCUAAGCAGUACUAGUACAGAGAGGAGAUGGAGUAAUCUAAGCAUAAAUAGGAUGAAGGGCAUGGACAUGGAGGAGGCUAGGGUGAGUACAGGGAGGAGUGGAAGCAAAGGGAGUCUAAGCAUAAAUAGGAUGGAGGACAUGUACAUGGAGGAGGGCAGUGGGAGUACAGGGGGAGAAGUGGAAGCAGCAGAAGUGGAGGGAGCAGUGGAAGCAGCAGAAGGACUAGCAGUCGCUGAAGAGGGAGGAGCGGGAGCAGUGGAAGCAGCAGGGAAUAGCAGCGGGGAAGAGGAAGCGGGGGAAGCAGUGAGAGGAAGUUUUCAAGAUAUUUGUUUGGGGAAGUUCUUGGUGUGCCUUCUUUAUCUAUUGUGUUUUAGCCUUUCUCUGCUUAAAAACAAGGAAACAAGUCGAUAAACAGAUGGGUUAUGGAUGCUUCUUUCGUUUUUUGAUCAGCAUUGGAUGGUAAACGAUGCCAGUCAAAGUUGUAAGGAGAGUUUCCAUAGAUUUGAUAAGUAUCUCAACUUCUGUAAUACAAUCAUCUUGAGAAUUCUGAUCCCGGUGCUUGUGGUCGGGCAUAUGGUAUGAAAAUAUUUGAUCUCAAAGAGUGGAAGAAGAGAAACAUCAUGGGAAUAUAUCACUGAUAGCAGGAAAUGAGCAAGGAUAGGACAUUGUGGAUAGUCGGCGUCUUACCCCCUGGAUUGGUCACUUUCUACAAUCUGACUAAAUGGUUCGAUCAGAGGUGGCAUCUGGUUAGACUCGGCUAUGAUCCAGCACUCAACUGGACAGAAAUGGACAAUGCAGCAGUCAUUCAUUACAAUGGAAACUGUAAACCAUGGUUGGAUUUGGCAGUCUCCAUCUAUUUUGUAAAUCUACGAUCAGUCUUGAGUGUAUGCAUAAUAAACCAAUCAAAGAGAAGGAACUUUGCCAUGCAAUUACAUUUCAAUUUGACAUUCCUGAGAAUUGCCGACACAGUCUCGCGGGUUAGAGAACUGUCCUCCAAUGGAAGAUGGCAUGAAGUGUUAGUCCACUUUAACAAAGCAAAGUGAGCAGGAAUUGAAAUCACUGAGCCUUCCAUGAUUAAUUCUGUUGUCAAAGCGUCGUCAAAGCAUCUUUCAAAGGUAUCAAAUAAACAAGGGAAGUCCAUCCAUGCUUUUGUGCUCAAGGAGGGUCUUGACACAUUCUCUUCCAUCAGCAAUUCUGUCAUGGAUUCGUACAUGAAGUGCAGGGACUUGGAAUCCACGUUGGGCGCCUUCCGGUCAAUGCAAAGCAGGGACUCGGUGUCGCAGAAUGUGCUCACUCGUAGGUUUCUUCAUCAGGGAAAUUUGGGAUGAAGGUUGUCAUGAUUUAGGCGAGCCCAAGUUGAUGAAUUUGAACCCAAUGUCUCCACUUUGGUACUGGUUCUCCAGGCGCCUAUGUGGAUGUUGAUAUGGAGCAAGCAGAUGGACUUUCAUAUGCUCUUGAAGUUCAUCAACGAGUGGAGUGGGUACAUUGAUCUCGAUUCAAUCUUAGAAUGCAGAGACAUUAUGCAAAUGUGCAGGGAUAGUUUGUUCAAAACAGAGAUGAGCAUGAAAAGGCACAGGGUUUCAGGAUGUGCCCGCACAAGAUAUGAUGAAGUAUGAUCACCUGACUUAAUGUGAAAAACAUCGGAUCAGCAUUUAAAUUAGGGGGAAAAUCUCUCCUUCCCCCGCCAAUGAGGUGUGUUGAGGCUGUCAAAUUUAUCACUUAAGGAUGUAGCAUUGAGCCCAAUUAAGUAUGGAGAUAACAUGUUCCAUUUUCUUUUCUCACAGGGGGAUAAUUGAGGCAAGUCCUGAUGAAUGGAGACAUGAAGCAAAAUGAAAUUGAUUCAACACAAGAAGGUUCUAUCGUUCCUAAAUUAGUCCAAUUCAAGUUUGAAAUGCAAGUAACAUGUCCCAUCUCUUGUAGGACAAGGCACGCAUCAACCGCGGGAGCGACGCCUUCUACCAAGUUGGCAUGCUAAGGCCAUCCAUUCUGUUGUAAAGGAUGUAUAUCGUUCCUAAAAUGAUUUCUAGUCAAGUGUGGAAAUAACAUGCCCAGUCUUCUAAAUGUCUCUUUGAGAAGAGCAUUUGAAAAGAGCAAGAAUUGAACUUUGUGGAUUAUCGUAUGCAG